UUUUACAAUGACACGUGGGCCCACAUUUAACCAAAAUGCAUCGGAAGCUGAAAACCUACAGCUUUUGCAGAUUCAAGUCCAAAUGAAGGUCCUUGUCAAAGUGAGCUAACUAUGGAAUUCCCUGAGCCUGAAAUGUGAGGAAAUGAGGGUGGUGAGAUUAUAAAAUCCCAGUGAGUAAACAGACACCAUCUAAACUAUCUA
rnacentral:lncRNA from 1 species